rnacentral:rRNA from 1 species
UACGGGGGGGGCAAGCGUUGUUCGGAAUUACUGGGCGUAAAGGGCUCGUAGGCGGCCAACUAAGUCAGACGUGAAAUCCCUCGGCUUAACCGGGGAACUGCGUCUGAUACUGGAUGGCUUGAGUUCGGGAGAGGGAUGUGGAAUUCCAGGUGUAGCGGUGAAAUGCGUAGAUAUCAGGAGGAACACCGGUGGCGAAGGCGGGUCUCUGGGCCGAUACUGACGCUGAGGAGCGAAAGCGUGGGGAGCGAACAGG